rnacentral:rRNA from 1 species
GGCGGGUUCUAUACAUGCAAGUCGAGCGGACAGAUGGGAGCUUGCUCCCUGAUGUUAGCGGCGGACGGGUGAGAACACGUGGGUAACCUGCCUGUAAGACUGGGAUAACUCCGGGAAACCGGGGCUAAUACCGGAUGGUUGUUUGAACCGCAUGGUUCAAACAUAAAAGGUGGCUUCGGCUACCACUUACAGAUGGACCCGCGGCGCAUUAGCUAGUUGGUGAGGUAACGGCUCACCAAGGCAACGAUGCGUAGCCGACCUGAGAGGGUGAUCGGCCACACUGGGACUGAGACACGGCCCAGACUCCUACGGGAGGCAGCAGUAGGGAAUCUUCCGCAAUGGACGAAAGUCUGACGGAGCAACGCCGCGUGAGUGAUGAAGGUUUUCGGAUCGUAAAGCUCUGUUGUUAGGGAAGAACAAGUACCGUUCGAAUAGGGCGGUACCUUGACGGUACCUAACCAGAAAGCCACGGCUAACUACGUGCCAGCAGCCGCGGUAAUACGUAGGUGGCAAGCGUUGUCCGGAAUUAUUGGGCGUAAAGGGCUCGCAGGCGGUUUCUUAAGUCUGAUGUGAAAGCCCCCGGCUCAACCGGGGAGGGUCAUUGGAAACUGGGGAACUUGAGUGCAGAAGAGGAGAGUGGAAUUCCACGUGUAGCGGUGAAAUGCGUAGAGAUGUGGAGGAACACCAGUGGCGAAGGCGACUCUCUGGUCUGUAACUGACGCUGAGGAGCGAAAGCGUGGGGAGCGAACAGGAUUAGAUACCCUGGUAGUCCACGCCGUAAACGAUGAGUGCUAAGUGUUAGGGGGGUUUCCGCCCCUUAGUGCUGCAGCUAACGCAUUAAGCACUCCGCCUGGGGGAGUACGGUCGCAAGACUGAAACUCAAAGG